AACGAACGCUGGCGGCAUGCCUAACACAUGCAAGUCGAACGAGAUCUUCGGGUCUAGUGGCGCACGGGUGCGUAACGCGUGGGAAUCUGCCCUUUGGUUCGGAAUAACAGUUGGAAACGACUGCUAAUACCGGAUGAUGACGAAAGUCCAAAGAUUUAUCGCCAGAGGAUGAGCCCGCGUAGGAUUAGCUAGUUGGUGUGGUAAAGGCGCACCAAGGCGACGAUCCUUAGCUGGUCUGAGAGGAUGAUCAGCCACACUGGGACUGUGACACGGCCCAGACUCCUACGGGAGGCAGCAGUGGGGAAUAUUGGACAAUGGGCGAAAGCCUGAUCCAGCAAUGCCGCGUGAGUGAUGAAGGCCUUAGGGUUGUAAAGCUCUUUUACCCGGGAUGAUAAUGACAGUACCGGGAGAAUAAGCUCCGGCUAACUCCGUGCCAGCAGCCGCAGUAG
rnacentral:rRNA from 1 species